UACGUAGGUGGCAAGCGUUGUCCGGAAUUAUUGGGCGUAAAGAGCUUGUAGGCGGUUUGUCGCGUCUGCUGUGAAAUUUCGGGGCUCAACCCCGAACUUGCAGUGGGUACGGGCAGACUAGAGUGUGGUAGGGGAGACUGGAAUUCCUGGUGUAGCGGUGAAAUGCGCAGAUAUCAGGAGGAACACCGGUGGCGAAGGCGGGUCUCUGGGCCGUAACUGACGCUGAGGAGCGAAAGCAUGGGGAGCGAACAGG
rnacentral:rRNA from 1 species